GACGAACGCUGGCGGCGUGCCUAAUACAUGCCAGUUGAGCGCUGAAGGUUGGUACUUGUACCGACUGGAUGAGCAGCGAACGGGUGAGUAACGCGUGGGGAAUCUGCCUUUGAGCGGGGGACAACAUUUGGAAACGAAUGCUAAUACCGCAUAAAAACUUUAAACACAAGUUUUAAGUUUGAAAGAUGCAAUUGCAUCACUCAAAGAUGAUCCCGCGUUGUAUUAGCUAGUUGGUGAGGUAAAGGCUCACCAAGGCGAUGAUACAUAGCCGACCUGAGAGGGUGAUCGGCCACAUUGGGACUGAGACACGGCCCAAACUCCUACGGGAGGCAGCAGUAGGGAAUCUUCGGCAAUGGACGAAAGUCUGACCGAGCAACGCCGCGGGAGUGAAGAAGGUUUUCGGAUCGUAAAACUCUGUUGGUAGAGAAGAACGUUGGUGAGAGUGGAAAGCUCAUCAAGUGACGGUAACUACCCAGAAAGGGACGGCUAACUACGUG
rnacentral:rRNA from 1 species